rnacentral:lncRNA from 1 species
GAAGGCGGCCUGAGGGCGAGGGUGGCCGAGGAGGGGUCAGGGCACUGCGGAGUCAGCCAAGCGGCCACGGCGGGGCCCCCUCCCCACCGCGAUGGCCCUGCCGCCCCCUCCCCCGCGGGCGCGCACACACACACACGCACUCACACACUCACGCCGCGCUCCGCCGCCGCCUCACCUCUCGCUCCGCCCGGCCGGCCCCCUGCCCUGCCCCCUGCGGGACCGGCCUGCGCGCAGCGCUGGAACCACGUAGGAGGCGGCGGCGGCCGCGGGAGUGGCGGAGUCUCCGGCCCGGCCCAGAGUGAGCGAGCAGCGGGGCUCCGGGCGCAUCCCAGCGCCCGCAGCGCCUCCUCCGCCGCCGCCGCCUCCCCCCUCCCCUCCUCCCGGCUUCAUUCACCCUCUCAGCAGCCGCGCAGCCGCUCACUCCCGGCGCGGGCAGGGCAGCGCCUGCCGCGGCUUCCCGGCUCCGGCCGCGGGCGCUGGCGGGGCGCCGGCCCGGGCUGGGGCGCUCGCGGGCCCCGGCUCCGGGCGGCGGCGGCGGCUGCACAUGAUCAGGAAGCGGCCGUACCAACAGGGCGGCGGCGGCGGCCGCGGAGUGGCGGAGUCUCCGGCCCGGCCCAGAGUGAGCGAGCAGCGGGGCUCGGGCGCAUCCCAGCGCCCGCAGCGCCUCCUCCGCCGCCGCCGCCUCCCCUCCCUCCUCCCGGCUUCAUUCACCCUCUCAGCAGCCGCGCAGCCGCUCACUCCCGGCGCGGGCAGGGCAGCGCCUGCCGCGGCUUCCGGCUCCGGCCGCGGGCGCUGGCAGGGGCGCCGGCCCGGGCUGGGGCGCUCGCGGGCUCCCGGCUCCGGGCGGCGGCGGCGGCUGCACAUGAUCAGGAAGCGGCCGUACCAACAGGGCGGCGGCGGCGGCGGCAGCCGCCCGAGCCGCCACCGCUACUCCGGCCGCGCUCCCGGCACCGCGCGCCCGUUCCCCCCGCGCCCACCUCCCUCGGUGCCCCCCGCGAUCCCACCGACCGGCGGCGCGCGCAAAGUCCCGACCCGGCCGCGGGCGCAGACCCUCCUGGUCCGCAGUCGCGCGCCGGCCCAGGCGGGCCUCCGUCGGGAGACCCCCGCCCCGGGGGGCUCCGGGGCCAAGCGGCCCCCGCGGUAAAGCCAGCCCUUUUCCAGAUCCGCUCGCUCUCGCCGCCCUCUGCGAAGAGAGGAGUGAGGAGGGGGCGGCGGGAGGAGGGGACAGCGAGACCCCCGGCCGCCGCCUCCCCCCUACGCCACCUCCUGGGAAGAGGACACGGCUCUCCCCACUGGCGAUCGGACCGGCAGCCGCCGUAG